CCCCUCUCAGGAUGGCACCUGGAGAGUUUGCAGUACUCUACCAAUCUUGGCUAUGGGAGGGAGAGACAAGCAGAAGCCUAACCAUUCCAUUCUUAGCUUGGCCAGUACCUAGCGAGUGGAAGGCAAUCUGCUACAAGU